CGUACACUCCUACGGGAGGCAGCAGUGGGGAAUUUUGGACAAUGGGCGAAAGCCUGAUCCAGCCAUGCCGCGUGCAGGAUGAAGGCCUUCGGGUUGUAAACUGCUUUUGUACGGAACGAAACGGCCUUUUCUAAUAAAGAGGGCUAAUGACGGUACCGUAAGAAUAAGCACCGGCUAACUACGUGCCAGCAGCCGCGGUAAUACGUAGGGUGCAAGCGUUAAUCGGAAUUACUGGGCGUAAAGCGUGCGCAGGCGGUUAUGUAAGACAGUUGUGAAAUCCCCGGGCUCAACCUGGGAACUGCAUCUGUGACUGCAUAGCUAGAGUACGGUAGAGGGGGAUGGAAUUCCGCGUGUAGCAGUGAAAUGCGUAGAUAUGCGGAGGAACACCGAUGGCGAAGGCAAUCCCCUGGACCUGUACUGACGCUCAUGCACGAAAGCGUGGGGAGCAAACAGGAUUAGAUACCCGAGUAGUCCCAUGAU
rnacentral:rRNA from 1 species